rnacentral:lncRNA from 1 species
UCAGGUAAAAGCUUGUGCUAAUUUGUUUUUGGACCUUAUGUUAUGCACCUGCAGGUUUUAAGGGAAGGACCCUGCUUGUUGAAGAACAUAAGGUUUGUUGUGCACAUAAAGGUGCGUGUGUGCUUUGGAUUUUUCUCAGGGUCAUGCGUUUUAUUUGGACAGAAAACUACAAAUGUAUGCUCUGUUAGAAAAUUCGGUAAAAUUAAAUGGAUCCAGGACUGAAUCGUGAUUGAGAAUCACUUUCCUUAAAAGUAUUUCAAGCACUCUUUUAUUAUGUCUUAGAGUUGGAAAAUGCAAGAACACUCAGCAAACUUUGAAACAACAUCCAUAUCUCCUAUAAAUAUAUGAUUCUAUUCAGAAAAAUAACACAAGAACUAAAAACGAAUUUCUCUUCCAAAUUCCAGAAAACCUUCCUUGCAUUUCGGGUUCUUCACUUGUCUUGUGCAGACUCGAAAUAAGGCUGACAUUAUCCUGAGUGUUCUUGCAUUUUCCAACUCUAAGACAUAAUAAAAGAGUGCUUGAAAUACUUUUAAGGAAAGUGAUUCUCAAUCACGAUUCAGUCCUGGAUCCAUUUAAUUUUACCGAAUUUUCUAACAAUCUUAAAAGUAUUUGUAACAUAAUGGCUUCAGACGCUGCUGUUUCAAGCAUCAAAGUGAUGAACCAGGAUCUUGUCAAGUUAGAUCGAUUUGAUGGAACAAAUUACACAAGAUGGCAAGACAAGAUGACAUUCCUAUUGACUGCCCUGAAGGUUCACUAUGUUCUUGAUCCCGACCUACAACCAAUACCUGAACCAACAGAAAAUGAUUCGGAAGAACUCAAGAAGGAGCGCAAGAAACGCAAGGAGGACGAACUGCUUUGCCGUGGACACAUUCUGAAUACUUUAUCUGAUCGUCUCUACGACCUCUACACAGACAAUCCAUCGGCAACAGAAAUAUGGAAGGCACUAGAAUUCAAGUUCAAGGCUGAAGAGGAAGGUACGAAGAAGUUCUUAAUAUCUAAAUAUUUCGAUUUUAAAUUCUUAGAUUCUAAGCCCAUUCUUCCCCAAGUGCAUGAAUUGCAAGUUCUGGUCAAUAAAAUAAAGGCAGUAAAAAUAAACAUCCCUGAGACCUUCCAAGUCGGUGCAAUUAUUGCAAAAUUACCACCUUCAUGGAAAGGCUACCGAAAGAAAUUGUUGCACAGUUCCGAGGACUUCUCCUUGGAGAAAAUUCAGAAACAUCUUCGAAUCGAGGAGGAAUCGAAGGAGAGGGAGAAAUCAGAACCCCCUACUCAUUUCAAAACAAACGCUGUGACCAACAAGGGAAAGAAGAGACAUGAUGGCAUGAAGAGUCAUCUUGGACCAAAGAAAGAACAUAACAAGUUCAAGAACUCUGGCGGUCAUAAAGGUCCAAAGAACGGAUGUUUCGUAUGCGGUAAACCUGGACACUAUGCUCGAGAUUGCAGACAAAAUAAAGCAAAAAAUGAGAUCAAUGCAAUUCGAUCAGAUGAUGACAUAAUUGCUACAGUGAGCGAAAUUAUGGCAAUCAAAGGAAAAGUUCAAGGUUGGUGGUAUGACACUUGUGCUACGGUGCAUGUUACUUAUGACAAGGCUGCAUUCAAAACCUAUUCUGAAGCAAUUGAUGGACAAGAGGUACAAAUGGGAAAUGAAGUCCGCUCUAAAGUUGUUGGAACCGGUUCGGUCGAACUUAACUUCACUUCUGGAAAGAAAGUUACACUUGUAAAUGUGCUUCAUGUUCCAGACAUGAAUAGGAAUCUUGUUAGUGGGGAUUUAUUGGGAAAACCGGGUAUUAAAUCUGUAUAUGAAUCGGGCAAACUUAUUUUGACCCGUAAUGGUGUAUUCAUUGGAAAAGGAUAUUCCGCAGAGGGAAUGAUCAAACUAUGUACUAAUGAUAAUAUUAUUAAUGAAAUUUCUAAUUCCGCUUACAUGCUUGAUUCCGUUUCUUUAUGGCAUAAUAGAUUAGCACAUUGUGGUAUUAGUUCUAUGAAGAGACUAAUUAAAUCUGGACUAAUUUCAUGUAAUAUAAAGGAUUUCAAAAAAUGUGAAUUAUGUGUUGAAUCAAAAAUGAUUAAGAAGCCUUUCAAAAGUGUUGAAAGGAAAACGAAAUUACUUGAUCUUGUGCACUCAGAUUUGUGCGAAUUUAAUGGCAUGUUGACACGUGGAGGGAAUAGAUACUUUAUUACAUUCAUAGACGAUUCCUCUAGAUACACUCAUGUAUAUCUCUUAAAGCAUAAAGAUGAUGCAUUUAAUGCCUUUAAGACUUAUAAAGCAGAAGUCGAAAAUCAAUUAAAUAAAGGUAUAAAGGUCCUUAGAAGUGAUAGGGGCGGCGAAUACUUUUCAAUUGAAUUUGAUGCAUUCUGUGAAGAGCACGGUAUAAUACAUGAAUGUUCGGCACCACGAACACCGCAACAAAAUGGCAUGGCAGAAAGAAAGAAUCGAACAUAUCAAGAGAUGAUGAAUGCCAUGUUGAUGCAUUCUAAAUUACCCCUUAACUUGUGGGGUGAGGCAUUAUUGUCCGCCUGUCAUAUAAUCAAUAGAAUUCCGUUAAAGAAAACUGGUAUAUCUCCAUAUGAGUCAUGGAAAGGCAGAGCGCCAAAUAUCGGUUACUUUAAAGUGUGGGGGUGUGUGGCAUACUACAAAAACAUGGACCCUAAAAGAACCAAGUUGGGUCCUCGAGGAAUAAGAUGUGCUUUUGUAGGAUAUGCACAACACAGUAAAGCAUAUAGACUCUUAAAUCUAGAAUCUAAUGUAAUUGUUGAAUCCCGGGAUGUAGAAUUCUUUGAAAACCUUAUCACAAAGGAUAAAGGAUCGGAGUCGGCCACUAAUAAAGAAUCUCAUGAAGAUAACUCUUCUCGGAUUGUAGAAAUACAAACUGAAGGCACUCCUAUAAUCAUUGAACCACAACCCGAGCCUAGGAUAAGCAAGAGAAUUCGGAAAACAAAGAAUCUAGGACCAGAUGAGAUUGAUUCUCAAUCUAUUUCCUUUUAUCUUGUUGAGGGAAAUUGUAAGAACUUUGUUCAACGCAUUCCGAUUAUUCUUCAAGUGGAAGAUGAUCCAAAAACUUAUAAGGAAGCAAUAACUUCAAGGGACUCCACUUUUUGGAAAGAUGCUAUCCAAGAUGAAAUGGAUUCAAUUGUAUCAAACCACACUUGGGAACUUGUUGACUUACCUAAGGGAUCAAGGCCCAUUGGAUGCAAGUGGGUGUUUAAGAAGAAAUACCAUAGCGAUGGUACUCUAAACACUUAUAAAGCCAGAUUAGUGGCAAAAGGAUUUAGACAGAAAGAAGGCAUAGAUUACUUCGACACAUACGCACCAGUAGCAAGAACAACUACUAUUAGAUUGUUGUUUGCCUUAGCAUCUUUGAAUGAUCUUAUAAUCCAUCAGAUGGAUGUUAAAACAGCGUUCCUAAAUGGAGAUCUCGAUGAGGAAAUCUACAUGGAACAACCGGAAGGCUACCUGCUUCCUGGAAAUGAACAAAAGGUGUGUAAACUUGUCAAAUCCUUAUACGGACUAAAACAAGCACCAAAACAGUGGCAUCAAAAAUUUGACUCUGUAAUACCCUCAAAUGGAUUUAUUCCUAAUUCUUGUGACAAGUGUUUAUACACAAAGACGUGCAAAACCACUGUAAUAUUCCUUUGUCUCUAUGUCGACGAUAUGUUGAUCAUUAGUAAUGAUUUAAAAGGAAUCUUAGAAACAAAGAAGUUUUAACAUCCACUUUCAAGAUGAAAGAUCUUGGACUUGUUGACACAAUUUUAGGGAUUAAGGUAAGCGAAAUAGUGGGGGUUAUGAACUUAGUCAAACCCACUAUAUUGAGAAAAAUGCUUGAUAAGUUAAACAUCUAAACUUUAAGGAAGUAACCACUCCAUUUGAUCAUGCCAACAAACUUCAAAAGAAUAAUGGAAGAUCAGUGGCUCAAUUGGAAUAUGCAAGUGCAAUAGGGUGUCUAAUGUACCUAAUGCAAUGUACCAGACCCGACAUAUCAUUUGCAGUCAGUAAAAUGAGUCGAUUUACUAGUAAUCCAAGUAAUGAACAUUGGAAGGCAAUUACAAGGAUUUUUGCUAUCUACUGAAAACCAAGGACCUUGGUCUUCACUAUGGAAGGUUCCCUGCCAUAUUAGAAGGAUACACUGAUGCGAGUUGGAUAUCUAAUAUUGAGACCAUAAAUCUACACUGGAUGGAUAUUUACACUUGCUGGUGGAGCAAUUUCUUGGAAGAGCAAGAAAACAAACAUGCAUUACACUUUCGACCAUGGAAUCAGAGUUUGUGGCUCUCGCUUCCGCCGGUCAAAGAGCGGAAUGGUUGAGGGAUCUUCUGUUGGAAGUUCCAUUGGCUAAAGGCAAUAUCUCAAAAGUGAUGAUACAUUGCGAUAGCCAAGCCACAUUAGCAAGAGCAUUCAGCGAAGUGUAUAAUGGAAAGUCUAGACAUAUAGGACUUAGACAUUCGUUCGUAAGAAAAUUGAUUAAGGAUGGAAUCAUUUCACUCACCUACAUACGAACAUGCUAUAACUUAGCAGAUCCGUUUACUAAGCCACUGGCCAGAGACUUAGUACGACAACCUCGAGAGGAAUGGGUUGAACUCCUUAAAUAAAGGUUCGACAGCAGCGCAGCAACCCAAUCUUAUGUUACAAAACAUUAACUUCAAGAUUCAAUGGGUAACAACAAGUCGUUGAAUUGGAUGUAAGUCAAGAAUUUGGAAAUAAGGUUGACUGUGUUGAAUUGAGGGUUGAGGUUUCCAAAAUCUCUUAAUGAAGUUCAUUAACGAAGAAGAGUAUCUAUUGGAAAGGAUGCUAUAUGAACCUCACCUAUGUGAAUUUUGAGAUGGUGCCGUCUCAAAGUGAGAGUUGGAGUUUCUCUCAUGAAAAAAUUCAUGAAAAGGAUAGCAUAUGGCCAUAAAUAAGUGCUAAGCGAGAUAUGUAAAGGAAGAACCUUUAAAGAGUGUGUGUAAGGUAACGCCGGUCUGAUCCCAUGGAUUAAUGGUUUAAAAGCUUUGCUACCAAACAUUCCGAUUAAACUUUGCUUAUCCUCACUAAGGUUAAGUUUAAAUCGAAAGAUACCUAACUGUAUUAACACUUUUUAUAUUUCACUAUCUGGAAUGAUUUUUGUCAUUAUUAGAACUAGUGGGGAUUGUUGGAAAUUGUUUUGCAAUAUUAGUUCCAAAAUGACAAAAGAGUUAAAUAGCAUUAAUGCUUUGAAUUCAAUUUUUUUAGUUAUUGUUUUGUUUGAAUUUUGAAUUCAAUUUUCAUAUCUUUUCAUGAAAUAGUGUCAUAUAUGAAACAUUGUGUUUAUGGUGAAAUGGUGUUGUUUCAUCAAAGGUUGCAAACUUUUGAAACAACAUCCAUAUCUCCUAUAAAUAUAUGAUUCUAUUCAGAAAAAUAACACAAGAACUAAAAACGAAUUUCUCUUCAAAUUCCAGAAAACCUUCCUUGCAUUUCGGGUUCUUCACUUGUCUUGUGCAGACUCGAAAUAAGGCUGACAUUAUCCUGAGUCCUUUGAUGAAACAACACCAUUUCACCAUAAAACACAAUGUUUCAUAUAUGACACUAUUUCAUGAAAAGAUAUGAAAAUUGAAUUCAAAAUUCAAACAAAACAAUAACUAAAAAAAUUGAAUUCAAAGCAUUAAAUGCUAUUUAACUCUUUUGUCAUUUUGGAACUAAUAUUGCAAAACAAUUUCCAACAUGCUCUACUUUGUGAGUCCUAAAUUUGUGUGGUAUGUGCAUCUUGCAGGUCCAUAACAUUUCUUCUAAGUGAAGGACAUAAUAUGCUAUUAUGCAGGUCACAUAGUAUGAACAAUGUAUGCUCAUUAUGCAGUUCACAAGGUCUGAACAGAGCAUGUUAUUGGUCAUUUGGUCUGCUUGUAUUAUUUGCAAGUUGUUCAACUGCUUGAGCUUAUUUAGAUGUGGAGAUAAGGCUAUGGAAGUAGGACACAUUAGUUAGAGUGUGUUAACUUGUGGAUGAGAUUAGAUGAGUAGGACUUAGUACUUGUUUAUUGUUUUUCUUUAUGAAAUUGCAAUGAGAUGUGAUGAAAGCACAUGAAGUUUGAUUUUGGUGUAAGUGAAUGGUGUAUAAACUCAUUGGUUUGUGUGAAUAUUCUUGUAUGAAUGUAAUGAAAAGUUUGGUUAUGAAUUGAAUUCUUAUUGUUUUGAAAUUGUAUGGAACCAUUGAAUUGUGUAUUGGAUGUUAGAAAAU